rnacentral:rRNA from 1 species
CACUCCUGCGGGAGGCAGCAGUGGGGAAUAUUGGACCAUGGGCGCAAGCCUGAUCCAGCCAUGCCGCGUGAGUGAUGAAGGCCCUAGGGUUGUAAAGCUCUUUCACCGGUGAAGAUAAUGACGGUAACCGGAGAAGAAGCCCCGGCUAACUUCGUGCCAGCAGCCGCGGUAAUACGAAGGGGGCUAGCGUUGUUCGGAUUUACUGGGCGUAAAGCGCACGUAGGCGGACUAUUAAGUCAGGGGUGAAAUCCCGGGGCUCAACCCCGGAACUGCCUUUGAUACUGGUAGUCUUGAGUUCGAGAGAGGUGAGUGGAAUUCCGAGUGUAGAGGUGAAAUUCGUAGAUAUUCGGAGGAACACCAGUGGCGAAGGCGGCUCACCGGCUCGAUACUGACGCUGAGGUGCGAAAGCGUGGGGAGCAAACAGGAUUAGAUACCCUUGUAGUCCCAUGAU